rfam:Cicer arietinum chromosome Ca6, whole genome shotgun sequence.
AUACCUUUCUCGGCCUUUUGGCUAAGAUCAAGUGUAGUAUCUGUUCUUAUCAGUUUAAUAUCUGAUAUGUGGUCCAAUGGGCCACACGAUAUUAAAUUACUUUUUUGAGGGGGAGAUGCCACUUCAGUAGCUUGCUACUGGGCUUCUCGCGGGUCGCCAAUGCGUUGCACUACUGCAUUGGCUGGCGCACCCCAC